UUACAAACUCUCCUCCUACUUUGUCCGCAUCCAUCCUUGACUCUCUCCCUCUCACAUCUGGUCUCGAACUCAUCCUCCUUCUUUCUGCGGCUCCAACCUCGAGGGUCUAAAAAUUGGCCAUCAAGGAGUAUGUGUCUUUGAACAGGCUAGUUUCCAACGGUGAGCCCUGCUUCAACUACAAUUCAAGGCACUUCGUAAGCUCUAUGUAGGAGGACGACGAUCGUGCUCAGCUCCCUCUCUCCAUUCCUUACCAGAAAGCCCCCGUAAGCUCUAAGUGCAUUCUAUAGUCAAUGUUCUGUUUUGAAGUGGAUGAGUGAAAGUGAGAACUCCACCUCCUCCUCUACA